UUAAAAGAGGCAGCUGUGACUUUAGCUGUCUGACUAGUUUUCUGUUUGUUGCAAAUGUAACAUGUUAUUUGUUGGCUGAUAUGUGUGUUAAAAUUAAAUGUAUCUUAAGAAGUGUUAUAUUACCAUUUUGGAUGGUUUUCCUACUCUAGAGACUGAGCUAGGUAUAGUCCAGAGUAAAACGAACAUCACCUGUACCACACUUGAGAGCUGGGGAUGUAACAGCAGUGGAGACUUGUCUGGAUUACUUAAAUACCUAAAGACUUCCCCCACGACUGAUAAAAUUACACUCCUAAUACUACAGCUGUUCAUCUUCAGCUGGCAUGUAGACUGGGUCACUGGCAUGUCCGAUGAACCGCACAGCUCUGACGUCACAGUAACUGAAGUUUCUGUCCCACCGGCGUGAACGUCGGUGACUUGGCGGCAGAUGACCUGGCGAUGCUGGGUCCCAGGUCCACACCUUCUACUGCACUCUGACCACUCGCCUACGUCCCAGCUGUUAACCAAGAGAAUAGAGAAGUGAUGUGCUUUAAUGUUGAUGCAUAAGUUUACUAAAGACCUUCACCAAAUUGUCUUUGUCUUAGCUCUGUCUUCUUGGUGACCACAACUACUAAGUUCCUCUUUUCCACAGCGUAUCUUCCUCCCCUUUACCCCCAACGAGCCACUCCAUGAGCCUGGUUCUGGUGAAGGCUUCUUCCUGUUAAAAGGGAGUUUUUCCUUACCACUGUUGCCAAGUGCUUGCUCAUAGGGAGUUGAU